rnacentral:sRNA from 1 species
AGGUUGGAAACUCCAUGCUGCUGACGGGCCACAUCCUUAUCCUGCUAGGGGGGAUCUACCUCCUCGUGGGCCAGCUGUGGUACUUCUGGCGGCGCCACGUGUUCAUCUGGAUCUCGUUCAUAGACAGCUACUUUGAAAUCCUCUUGUACGUGGGUUCUCACUCCUCCUUCCCUCAACUGUCUCUGAGGUCUGGAAGGGGCAGUUGUGGCAGAAGGCACAACUUUAGAAGCGAGGACACGGGGCCCAGGAAGUCGGGACCUGUGUACAGGCCAGUCCCAGGAGUCUGGGCUGCCGUCCAGCCUGGGCCCCUUGUGCUCCCAUCACUGUAGAUGGUGAUAGUGACAUUUACUAGGCCUCGGCACACACCUGUUUCACUUAGUCCUUGAAAACACUCUAUGAGUCAGGCACCAUUAUUAUUAUGCCCAUUUUACAGUGGGAGGGAACUGAGGCCCACAGAUGUUAAAUGUCUU